UUGGAGAGUUUGAUCCUGGCUCAGAUUGAACGCUGGCGGCAGGCCUAACACAUGCAAGUCGAGCGGAAACGAGUUAACUGAACCUUCGGGGAACGUUAACGGCGUCGAGCGGCGGACGGGUGAGUAAUGCCUGGGAAAUUGCCCUGAUGUGGGGGAUAACCAUUGGAAACGAUGGCUAAUACCGCAUAAUAGCUUCGGCUCAAAGAGGGGGACCUUCGGGCCUCUCGCGUCAGGAUAUGCCCAGGUGGGAUUAGCUAGUUGGUGAGGUAAUGGCUCACCAAGGCGACGAUCCCUAGCUGGUCUGAGAGGAUGAUCAGCCACACUGGAACUGAGACACGGUCCAGACUCCUACGGGAGGCAGCAGUGGGGAAUAUUGCACAAUGGGCGCAAGCCUGAUGCAGCCAUGCCGCGUGUAUGAAGAAGCCUUCGGGUUGUAAAGUACUUUCAGCAUGGGAAGUUCAUCGUUAAACUGUCGGGCUAUGUCGUUGCGCGACGAAACAGGGCUACACG
rnacentral:rRNA from 1 species